GGCGAUAUAGCCAAGUGGUAAGGCAAAGGAUUGCAAAUCUUUUAUACCCCAGUUCAAAUCUGGGUAUCGCCU
rnacentral:tRNA from 1 species